GCCAGGGUGGCGUAGUGCUUAGCGUACCUGCCUAGUGAGCAGGAGACUCGGGUUUGAAUCCCGGUCCUGGUA